rnacentral:rRNA from 1 species
AAGACCUUGCACUUUUGGAGCGGCCGAUGUCUGAUUAGCUAGUUGGUGGGGUAAUGGCCUACCAAAGCUUCGAUCAGUAGCUGGUCUGAGAGGACGGCCAGCCACACUGGGACUGAGACACGGCCCAGACUCCUACGGGAGGCAGCAGUGGGGAAUUUUGGACAAUGGGCGCAAGCCUGAUCCAGCCAAGCCGCGUGAGUGAAGAAGGCCUUCGGGUUGUAAAGCUCUUUCAGCCGGGAAGAAAAGGUUGCGACUAAUAAUCGCAAUUCAUGACGGUACCGAAAGAAGAAGCACCGGCUAACUACGUGCCAGCAGCCGCGGUAAUACGUAGGGUGCGAGCGUUAAUCGGAAUUACUGGGCGUAAAGGGUGCGCAGGCGGUUUUGUAAGUCAGAUGUGAAAUCCCCGGGCUUAACCUGGGAACU